CGGGCGGACGGGACGGGACGGGACGGUCGAGCAAGCGGCGACGAUUUGGCAACGGCUUUUAUGGCUUUCGUUGCGAUCGGCUGGAAACGACUCGACUCGAACCGCCGCGCCGCGGAUCCCCGCAUCGACGAAUUUUCAUACGCGCGUCCGUGUGCCCGUUGGACUCGCGCGAGCCUGUGUGCACGUAUUUCGGAAACGAGGCCGAUGUAUUCUGAAAACCUGGGGGGAAAGACUGUCGCUCCCACAAUAAACGAACGCGCGUCGGGGAUCGCGGCGGCGCACGGUUUUCUGGACGCGUUCGACCGCGACGCCGGAAACUCUGAAGACAGGUGUUCGACGUGGAUUGCCUCGCGGAGCAUUCCACUCUGUUCCUGUGAAAAGCGGGAGCAACGUAAUCACGCCCACCCGGAAUGCUUCGCGCCGAGAGAGAAGCUUCUCGCCGCUGGAUUUUAACCCCUUGGAGUCUGUCGGGACGUAAUUGUGUCCCAUCUACGUAUUUCGUACGAUAAUUGGGGGAGAAACGAAGCCCGUUUUUCCACCGUACACGAAUAUAUAUUAUCGGUCUUAGAACGUAUUACGCGCGCAUACUUUGUUUACACGUAACGACAUAACCUCUCGGUUCGGCGGCGAAGUCGGGCCAGCCAGCACGUGCUAAAUUGUACAGUAUCCGGAUUUGUAUUAUUGUCCAAGCUGCGUUGAAUCUACUCUUUAAGAGUCCGACUGCCGGGUGCUACACCGGGGCAGAAGAAGAGGCCCGCGCCGGUAAUUACGCAACCUGUCAGUUCUAUGCCGCGUUUUCCGUGACCGCGGCAUGUACAGUCUACGCCGAAAACCGACGCGGACCGACGGAAAAAUCUUCCGCGGCGCUGUCGUUGCUGCCGAUCGGGAAAUCUUCGUAAUCGGAGAUAGCGAAAUUAAUUAAGACUGUUAUUUAUUAUUUAUGUAUCGUUAUGAACGUUGUUAUUAAUAUAAUUGUUAUUAUAAUAUGAUA